rnacentral:misc_RNA from 1 species
GUUACUAUUUUUUCUGUGAGUAUUAGUCAUUAGUUCUCCAGCCCCAACUCUGCAUAGAACUGAAAAACAGUAAGAAAUAAAUGCUAUAUCUCUUAGAUUCUUGUUAAUUAAGACUUCAGAGUUUUAGAAAGAGAAUAGAAGAAUGCAGUUAUUUUUCUUAACUUUGCUGAUGGUAAUUGCUGCAUGUUACAGUGCAGAAAUUAAAAGAGUACAAUUACACCGGUUUCGGUCUGCCAGAAGAAGGUUUCAGGAAGUCGGCACCAAUUCCCAAGGACUAAAAGAUAUCUAUUGGAAUAGAUUUGCAGUUGGCAACGGUGUUCCUGAACCUUUAUCUAACUAUUUGGAUGCUCAAUAUUAUGGAGAGAUAAGCAUAGGAACUCCCCCUCAAAACUUUAAGGUAGUUUUCGAUACUGGAUCUUCAAAUUUAUGGGUUCCAUCAAAGAAAUGUCACUUGAGCAAUAUUGCUUGUUUGUUACACAACAAAUAUGAUAGUACAAAAUCCAGCACGUAUCAAAAGAAUGGAACGAAGUUUGCUAUUCAGUAUGGUUCGGGGAGCCUAUCAGGAUUUCUUAGUGACGACACAGUUACUGUAAAUGGUCUUAAAGUUAAAAAUCAAGUUUUUGCGGAGGCUCUUAGUGAACCUGGUAUGGCAUUCGUUGCAGCCAAAUUUGAUGGUAUUUUAGGCUUAGGAUAUAAGACUAUAUCUGUUGAUGGCGUUCUACCAGUGUUCUAUUCUAUGGUUCAACAAAAAGUUGUAGAUGAGCCUGUUUUCUCUUUCUAUCUAAACAGAAAUCCUGAUUCUAAAGUUGGAGGUGAACUACUCUUUGGGGGAACUGAUCCAAAAUAUUACACUGGCAACUUUACUAACCUACCAGUCACCAGACAAGGCUACUGGCAAUUUAAAAUGGACGGAAUUAAGAUUGGAGGGGAAUCAUCUGAGGCUUGUGUCGGAGGUUGCCAAGCUAUUGCAGAUACUGGAACUAGCCUGAUUGCAGGACCAACUGCCGAAGUUGCUAAAAUCCAAAAGGCAAUAGGUGCGACUCCCUUGGCUGCUGGAGAAUACACAAUUGAUUGUAGCAAGAUUUCUUCUCUACCCACAAUAUCUUUCAUUCUAGCUGGAAGGGAAUUCGUCCUUCAGGGAAAAGAUUACGUACUUGAGAUUUCUAAACUCGGUCAAACAAUAUGCCUUAGCGGUUUCAUGGGAAUGGAUAUUCCCCCACCAGCAGGACCCCUUUGGAUCCUUGGCGACGUUUUCAUCGGGCGUUACUAUACGAAAUUUGAUUUAGGAAGUAACAGUGUUGGUUUCGCUAAAACCAGCGGAAUGGCUCAAGAGUUUAAUAUUGAUAGUGUUCCAACUUGGAUAUUAGGAGACGCAUACCUAAUGAAUUUUUAUACAACUUUCGAUAUGGGUAAGAAUGAGGUUGACAUCAAAUCUCCAAGACAUGGUGGUGAACUAGUUGCUGAAGUUCUUAAAUCACAUGGUGUGAAAUUCAUAUUUACUUUAGUUGGUGGGCACAUCUCGCCUAUACUUGUUGCAUCAGAGAAGAAAGGAAUAAAGAUUGUAGACGUUCGUCAUGAGGCAUCAUCCGUAUUUGCCGCUGACGCUGUUGCUCGACUAUCAGGAACAGUUGGCGUAGCUGCUGUGACUGCCGGCCCUGGUCUAACAAAUACUGUCACUGCUAUAAAGAAUGCUCAAAUGGCUGAGUCUCCUAUUUUACUUAUUGGUGGAGCGGCAGCUGGAAUUUUGAAAGGGAGGGGAGCCUUACAGGAUAUCGAUCAAAUGGUUCUAUUCAAACCUUUAUGCAAAUACACUGCAACUAUUCGAAGCUGCAGGGAAAUUAUUCCAACACUUAAAAAAGCAUUACAGGAAGCCCAAUCGGGAGUUCCAGGACCGGUUUUUGUUGAAUUUCCUAUUGAUACCCUCUACCCAUGUGAAUUAGUCAAGAGAGAAAUUGGAGCUAAAGAUGGUGGGAGCGCAAAAGGUUUAUUUCAAAAAAUUGCUGCUUGGUACUUGGAUGUGUAUAUGAGAAACAUCUUCAGUGGAGCUUGGGAGAAAAGAGAUGUAUCUCCGUUACCUGUUUACCAACCCAAGGCAGAUAGCCAGCUUAUAGAGAAAGCUGCUGAAAUUGUCAGGAAUAGUAAAAAACCUGUUAUUCUACUAGGUAGUCAAGCGACGUUGCCUCCUGUACCUGCCGAUGACCUCAGACGUUCUUUAGAAGCUAUGGGAAUUCCUUGUUUCUUAGGAGGUAUGACAAGAGGCCUAUUAGGUCGUAACAAUCCGAUACAUAUUCGUCAACGACGUAGAGAUGCAUUGGCCGAGGCUGAUGUUGUUAUUAUGGCGGGGGCUGUUGCAGACUUCCGUCUAAGUUAUGGUAGAGUUUUGAAAAGAAAGAGUAAAAUUAUUGCCAUAAAUCGCUCAAAAGAGCAGCUAUUUAAGAAUACAGAUAUGUUUUGGAAACCGACUAUAGGAGCGGUUUCUGACGUUGGAACUUUUAUGGUAGGCUUACAAAGACGAUUAUCCGGUUACCGUGCAGAUGAGAGUUGGGCAAGUACGUUGAAGGCUAGAGAUACGGAAAAGGAAACCGCUAAUGAAAAGAAAGGGAUGGAAGAAACACAGAAACACUUAAAUCCAAUCAAUGUUCUUCAUCGUAUCGAAAAUCUCUUACCAGAUAACGCUAUUCUAGUAGCAGAUGGCGGCGAUUUUGUCGGAACGGCAGCGUAUAUAGUUAGACCUAGAGCUCCCUUAACUUGGUUGGAUCCAGGUGCAUUUGGAACGUUAGGUGUUGGUGGAGGCUUUGCCUUAGGAGCCAAAUUAGUUAGACCCGAUGCUGAGGUUUGGAUUAUUUAUGGAGAUGGUUCUUUAGGCUAUAGUGUUGCUGAAAUGGACACUUAUACAAGAUUUAAGACGCCAGUUAUUUGUUUAGUCGGAAAUGACGCUUGUUGGUCUCAAAUCGCCAGAGAACAAGUACCUAUGUUCAAGUCAAGUGUAGCUUGCGAUUUAGAAUAUUCUGCUUAUGAGAGAGUUGCGGAUGGUUAUGGUGGUAAAGGUUACAAAAUUGAUCGCACAAAUGUAGAUAAAUUAGAGGAGAUUAUCAAAGAAGUACAAGAGAACUCUAAAAAUGGAAAAAGUUCCCUUUUGAAUGUCUUAAUUGGUAAGACAAAUUUUAGAGAAGGAAGUAUUUCUGUUUAA